UCAGCAGUGUGAAGCGUAUCAUUUGUAUGUAUAUGAAUUUCAAGUGGAGUAAGCUCGAUCUCGGAUUCGAAAGAGCGAACAGACGAGUGAGGUCCCCCCUCCGGGGGGUAUUGUAAAUGUACAUGGUGGGAGCUAGCGCAAAUAGAAAGGGUUAGGAGAUGCGUGACAGCUGGCAAGACUGAGUGCUGGUAGUGAUAGUUGCGUAUUGAGGGAUGUUCGGCAGAGAUGGAACUAGUCAUUGAUCAGAGUAUUGGUGUUAAUCACGCCGAGGAUGCUUAAGCGUUUUUUGUCCGUGCCAUGAAGUUAAAUGUGCACGUGAACGCGACGGUCGUGCCUACGCUCGGAGCGCACGCGAGGGGCGGCGACUGAAGGGAAGGUUGCUCGAUCGACAGCAUUUUUUCGAAGAGAGGCACAGCUCCGGUAGAAUCACUGAUGUGGCACCGUUUAUAGGGGUGUAAGCCCCGCAGAGAGUUGGUCUCCCAAGACAGUUGCUCUCUAUCACUACUAGUAUGUGGUCUCUUCACCACACAGAGGACGGGCAGAAUGUGUUUUCCCCCACCAUAUGAGUGGGGGGGCACUUGUGUUUAUGGAGCGCCCAAGGAAAAUCUCCACAAAGGUUGUUGCUGGGAGAAAGAAGGAAACUCCCCUCUCCUUCAUAAGAGGGAGACCCUCCACAGCGCGUGGGGGGCUUUUUGGGGCCCCAAAACCAGGAUCCCCAGAGGCCCAAGCCCCAGAAAAGUUUCUAGCCAUUCUAAGUGCCCCGUCCCGUAAACCCCCCAGGGGGGUGAAUUGAAUUUUUAAGGCGCCUGGGAAGAACCCUUUGUUAAGGGAAUUCUGCAAAACUAGCACCGUUUCUUUCGGUUUAAGGUGGUGCCUACUUAGGUGAAGCUCCCUAGCGAGUGGGAGCCUGGGAGGUUGCAACAAGAGUCCCCUCCCGGACUGUUUAUCCAAAAACACAAGCACUAUGCUUAACUCGUAAGAGGAUGUAUAUGGUGUGGACGCCUGGCCCGGUGCCGGAAGGUUUAAAUGAUGGGGUUAGCCGUGAGGCGAAGCUCUUGAUUGAAGCCCCGGUAAACGGCGGCCGUAACUAUAACGGUCCUAAGGUAGCGAAAUUCCUUGUCGGUUAAAUACCGACCUGCAUGAAUGGCGUAACGAGAUGGGAGCUGUCUCAACAAUGGAUCCAGUGAAAUUGUAGUGGAGGUGAAAAUUCCUCCUACCCGCGGCAAGACGGAAAGACCCCGUGCACCUUUACUACAGCUUGACACUGCAAUCGGGAUAGAUAUGUGCAGGAUAGGUGGGAGGCUAAGAAGCUAGGACGCUAGUCCUAGUGGAGCCAACCUUGAGAUACCACCCUUAUCUAUUCUGGUUGCUAACUUGCGAGUGUUAUCCACUCGGAGGACAAUGUCUGGUGGGUAGUUUGACUGGGGCGGUCGCCUCCUAAAAAGUAACGGAGGCUUACAAAGGUUAGUUCAUAUGGGUUGGAAAUCCAUAGAAGAGUAUAAUGGCAUAAACUAGCUUAACUGCGAGACAGACAAGUCGAGCAGAGACGAAAGUCGGUCAUAGUGAUCCGGUGGUUCUGAGUGGAAGGGCCAUCGCUCAAAGGAUAAAAGGUACGCCGGGGAUAACAGGCUGAUCUCCCCCAAGAGCUCACAUCGACGGGGAGGUUUGGCCCUAGAAAGGGCUCAUCCUACCUGGGGUACG
rnacentral:rRNA from 1 species